CAAUAUUAAGAAGAGACUUGCUUGGGCCAAGAAACACAAGCACUGGACAUUAGACCGGUGGAGUCCAAUCUGAGAUUUUUGGUUCCAACCACCGACUUUGUGAGACGCAGAGUAAGUGAACGGAUGACUUUGUGGCAUCUUGGCAUCUCCUCCGCAUGUGUGGUUCCCACCGUGAAGCAUGGAGAUGGUGUGGAGUGCUUUAAUGGUGACACGGACAAUGACCCAAAACACACCUCCAGGCUGUGUAAGGGCUAUUUGACCAAGGAGAGUGAUGGAGUGCUGCAUCAGAUGACCUGGCCCCCACAAUCACCUGACUUGAACCCAAUUGAGAUGGUUUGGGAUGAGUUGGACCGUAGAGUGAAGGAAAAGCAGCCAACAAGUGCUCAGCAUGUGAGAAUUCCUUCAAGACUGUUGGAAAAUUCCAGGUGAAGCUGGUUGAGUGUGCAAAGAUGUCAUCAAGGCAAAGGAAGAAUAUACAAACAUUUUUUUGUACACUUUUUUGGUUACUACAUGUGUUAUUUCAGUUAAAAAAAAACCUCAAAUGAGUAGGUGUCUCAACUUUUGACUAAAACAGUGCUUGUUUCCAUUGUUCAAUGGCAAUUUGUAAAGAACCUUUGGCUCGAUCAGGUCUGGUAAGGUAUGUUUAUCAUUUUCAAUCAACCAUGUAUAUUGCAAGGGGAAACAAACCUCAAUUACCGGACAGACAGACAUCAGGUAGGUAAUCUUUAUUACAACAAAACCAAAAAGUGCAGACAAGUAUAAGAGAAUAGAUUCAGCAGAGGCUAUGUAUUACUUCCAUAGCCAAGGUAAACACUCUAAACACUUAACAAGUUUAGUUCAAGCACAGUCCAAAUAUAAAUAAUUCACUAAAGGUACAAAAAACUAUUAAAUGGUGUUUUGCUCAAAGAUUUUUUCUCUCUAAAUAAAUCUAUUCCUAACAAUUUAGGUACAUUCCA